rnacentral:tRNA from 1 species
AUUUAUGAAGUUUUAAACGUUUCAUUUUCAUUGAAGAGAAAGGAUUAAUUUUUCCUCUUAAAUA